rnacentral:rRNA from 1 species
UACGGGGGGGGCAAGCGUUGUUCGGAAUCAUUGGGCGUAAAGGGUGCGUAGGCGGCCAACUAAGUCAGACGUGAAAUCCCUCGGCUUAACCGGGGAACUGCGUCUGAUACUGGAUGGCUUGAGUUUGGGAGAGGGACGCGGAAUUCCAGGUGUAGCGGUGAAAUGCGUAGAUAUCUGGAGGAACACCGGUGGCGAAGGCGGCGUCCUGGACCAACACUGACACUGAUGAGCGAAAGCCAGGGGAGCAAACGGG